CAGUGGCCGGCUGGACACGCACCGCCGCCCCGCAGCCUCGCCUCACUUUGCCCGGUCCGGUGCGGCCGCUACGGGUGUAAAAACCGCACCCCUCGUGGAUCCUCAUCGUUGCCGGUGUGCUGGCGACGCUGUGCCCGUAGUUGAGAUGAAUAAGGAAGUGAUGUCCCGCGUGGAGAAAAAGAGGUUGGCGGAUCCCAAAGUGGUCCAGUAUGUGUGGGCUGCCAUCGAGGUUAUCCGCAACCAGAAGCAAAUUGCCAACAUGGACCGUAUCUCCAAGUACCUGAGCCGCGUUUUCAGCAUGCAUCCGAAGGAGACAGCCCGACAGCUGAGCCUGGCCGUGAAGGAUGGCCUGGUGGUGGAGACACUCACUGUUGGCUGUAAGGGCUCCAAGGCGGGCAUCGAGCAGGAGGGGUACUGGCUGCCUGGAGACGAGAUGGAGCCUCAAGGGGAGGGAAGCAAGGAGGGGGAGCUGGGUGACGCCAACAUGUGCUAUCCCGCGUGUCCUCCUCAGGAGUGGGAGGCCGAGAGCCACGACUGGUACUGUUUCCAGUGCCACCUGCCGGGCGACGUGCUGCCCUGCGACAACUGCUUCCGCGUCUUCCACCUCAAGUGUCUGUCGGAGGACGGCCGGCCCCGCGACGCCGGCUCUCACUGGCAGUGCGUCUUCUGCAGGGGGAGUAAAAAGAAGAACCUGAGCAAACAGGAGAUGUGCAAAUAUCUGCGCUUCAUUGUCCAGCGGAUGAAGGAGAGGGCGGUGGACCUGAACAAGAAAAGCAAAGACACCAAGCAUCCCAUGUACAGAAGACUUAUCCACACUGCGCUUGACGUCUCCAACAUUCACGAGAAUCUGACUGAGGGGAAGUACAAGAACUUUGAGGACUUCAAAGCCGACGCCCAGCUGAUUGUUCACAACACGGCUAUCUUGUAUGGAGUUCACAGUGACCAGGCAGAGAUCGCCCGUCUCCUCUUCAGCGACACCUGUCAUGAGCUGAAUGAGUUGUUGCUGUGUAAGAACUGUUUCUACCUUUCCAACGCCCGCCCAGACAACUGGUUCUGUUACCCCUGUAGUCCAAGUCACGACCUGGUGUGGGCCAAGAUGAAAGGUUUUGGCUACUGGCCGGCUAAAGUGCUGCAGAAAGAAGACAACCAGGUGGACGUGCGCUUCUUCGGCCACCAGCACCAAAGGGCGUGGAUUCCAUCAGACAACAUCCAGGACAUCAAGGUGAGCGUGCAGCAGCUGCAGGUGAAGCGCAGUAACGGCUGGAAAAAAGCCUGCGACGAACUGGAAGUCUACCAGCGCUUCCUCAAGGAGGGACGAUUCUGGAAAACGAAACUCGAGGAAGGAGGCUGUGACGAAGGAGGCGGAGGCGGCGGUGGACAGAGUCAGAGCCCGAGGAAGUCACAGAAAGACGGCAACCAGCGGACGGACAGGACGCCGAGGACGGUAAAGACGGAAAAGACACAGAUCCCGGACCUGUUGGAGAGAAUGCAGGGGUCGAGGACUGAGAGAACGGACAGGAGCGAAGAAGCCGAGUCAAGCAUCUCUUCCACCAGCAACGAGCAAGUCCGACAGAUGAAAAGCAGCCAGGAGCCAAAAGCCAAGAAAAGCCGACGGACUCAACAAGUGGAGCCCAAAGAAGAAGCCAGUGACCCUGAGCCCGAGAUGGAGGCAGUAAGCUCGAGCCAAGAGAUCCCGGUGUCGUCUGCCCCGCCGCCACCCGAGAAGCAGUCUGUCUCGACGCAGACCAAGAAGGCGAGCACCGGGUCGCCUCGCACCCUCCACCGUGGGACACAGACCAGCUCAGACGGCACGGCUUGUCAGAACAUGUGUCACGAGAAGUACACUAAAGUCUUCAACGAUGUCAAGGAGAUGAUGAAGGCCGACAACAAGCGCGAGACGGAGCGCGUGGUCCGAGAAGCUCUGGAGAAGCUACGCGGCGAGAUGGAGGAGGAGAAGCAUGAGGCGGUGAGCAAGGCGGUGGGUGCUGCUCAGGCCGAGAUGGACAGGAAGUGCAAGCAGGUGAAGGACAAGUGCAAAGAGGAGCUGGUGGAGGAGGUCAAGAAGCUGGUGGCGCAACACAAACAACUAAUCUCGCAGACCAAGAAGAAACAGUGGUGUUACAACUGUGAGGAGGAGGCCAUGUACCACUGCUGCUGGAAUACGUCGUACUGCUCCAUCAAGUGUCAACAGGAGCACUGGCAUGCCGACCACAAGCGGACCUGCCGUAGGAAGAGAUGAACUGGACCCCCCGCCCCACACACACACACCCAGGAGGACCCCCCCCUUCGCACGCCAUUGGCUCACAGCCCUUCCUCGAACUUCACAAACGUGAACAUUGCUUUCAUCGAGAGAAAAGACGAGGUGGUGAAAAAAAAAAACGUAAAAAGACAACUAGCGGAUGACAGCCAGGCGGACUCCUUUUUAGCAAUCAAUCCUUCCUACCUAAAAUCCACCCCCCCAAAAAACUUACUUAUUAUUGGGGACAGGGUCGCAGCAUCGUUGCUGACUUAACAAAUCUUCCCUUGUUUUUAAUUAUUCUGCACAGUCGCGUUUUUUUUUUUUUUUUUUUUUAUUUGCUUUACAACACUAAAUUGAGUCAUAAAUAUAUAUAUUUUUAAUUGUAACAUGGCUAGGAUUUGUACAAAGGAAACAAGUAGUGCUGAGUGUCAUGCACCUUGGGCAGGAUUUUAAUAAAAAAAAAGAAAAAUCAAGAAUGAAAUAAAAACAAAUAUGCGAAUGACAGAUGGACGAUAUCAAAUAUUAUGCAAAUGAAAUGACGCCAUAAGUUUUUUUUUUUUUUUUUUUCUCUGUGAUGAAGACGGACGGACUGAACGGAGAGAAAAUAUAAUAAUUUGUUCCUUCGUUUGUUAUAGUUUUAUUUUUAAUCAUAUGGAACAUUUGUUGGCCUAAAUGCUCUAAUACGUGCUGCUUCUUGCCUGCUGCUGCACUCCAUGUAAAUAACAUGUUCCCGCCCCCCCGCGUCAUGUAUGAUGUAUUUGACAACCUGAAUGACUUCUUUUUAUCAGCAUGGUGAGUGCACAAGCUGCUUCUCCUCUUUUUCUUCUUGCUUUUACUUUUCUAUUGCUGGGGUUCUCAAACUAGGGGGUACCAGGACCCCCGGAGGUCCACAAGCAAUCAGUGAUGUCGUAUCUUUUACAUACUAAAAUACUGACUCCUCCCUACCUUAUAUUUCAGCCAAUUUAAAGCUGUGAUGCUGAAGUGUUUUAUCAUCACAGAAAUUGGGCAAAAAGUAUACUUACCAUCCCUAUUAAGAAUUUAAAUCAAAGUUUAACGAGGGAAGUAUGUGAUUCUGGCAGUUUGAUAACCGGGAGCAAACAUAUUGUUGGGUGUGUGUGUGUGUGUAUAUGUGUAUAUAUAUAAAUAUAUAUAUAUACACACACACACACACAGUGGGUACGGAAAAGUAUUCAGAGCCCCUUACAUUUUUCACUUUUUUAAAUUGCAGCCAUUUGCUAAAAUCAUUGAAGUUAAUUUUUUUCCCACAAUGUACACACAGCACCCCACAUUUUUGCAGAUUUAUUAAAACAGAAAAACUGAAAUAUCACACGGCCGUAAGUAUUCAGACCCUUUGCUCAGUAUUUAGUAGAAGCCCCCUUUUGAGCUAAUACAGCCGUGAGUCUUUUUGGGAAUGAUGCAACAAGUUUUUCACACCUGGGUUUGGGGAUCGUCUGCCAUUCCUCCUUGCAGAUCCUCUCCAGUUCUGUCAGGUUGGAUGGUGAAUGUUGGUGGGCAGCCAUUUUCAGGUCUCUCCAGAGAUUCUCAAUUGGGUUUAAGUCAGGCAUCUGGCUGGGCCAUUCAAGAACAGUCACGGAGUUGUUCUGAAGCCACUCCUUCGUUAUUUUAGCUGUGUGCUUUUCAUGAGAAUAGCACCUUUGGAAGUACAGUGGGUACGGCAAGUAUUCAGACCCCCUUAAAUUUUUCACUCUGUUAUAUUGCAGCCAUUUGCUAAAAUAAUUUUUAAAAAAUUAUUCAAUGUACACACAGCACCCCAUAUUGACAGAAAAAAACGGAAUUGUUGAAAGUUUUGCAGAUUAAUUCAAAAAGGUGGCACGGCGGGCGAGUGGUUAGAGCAUCUGCCUCAGGUUUUCGUCCAGGAUAUCCCUGUACUUGGCGCAUUCAUCUUUUCGAUUGCAACCAGUCUCCCUAUCACUGCAGCUGAAAAACACACCACACACACCCUGAUGCUGCCAACACCAUGCUUUACUAUUGGGACUGUAUUGGACAGGUGAUGAGCAGUGCCUGGUUUUCUCCACACAUGCCACUUAGAAUUAAGGCCAACAAUUUCUGUCUUGGUCUCAUCAGACCAGAGAAUCUUAUUUCUCACCAUCUUGGAGUCCUUCAGGUGUUUUUUUUUUUUUUAAACAAACUCCAUGCAGGUUGUCAUGUGUCUUGCACUGAGGAGAGGCUUCCGUCGAGCCACCCUGCCAUAAAGGCCCGACUGGUGGAGGGCUGCAGUGAUGGCUGACUUUCUAGAACUUUCUCCCAUCUCCUGACUGCAUUUCUGGAGGUCAGCCACAGUGAUCUUUGGGUUCUUCUUUACCUCUCUCACCAAGGCUCUAUUCCCCCCGAUUGCUCAGUCUGGCCGGACGGCCAGCUCUAGGAAGAGUUCUGAUCGUCCAAAAUGUCUUCCUUUUCAGGAUUAUGGAGGCCACUGUGCUCUUAGGAACCUUAAGUGCAGCAGAAUAUUUUUUUUCUGCUGCACUGUGCACACACAUACAGUGCUGCAAAUGAACUAAAAUGAUGUUAACAAAUGGCUGCAAUAUAACAGAGUGAACAAUUUAUGGGGGUCUGAAAACUUUCCGUACGCACUGUGUGUGUGUGUGUGUGUAUAUAUAUAUAUAUUAUAUAUAUAUAUUAUAUAUAUAUAUAUAUUAUAUAUAUAUUAUAUAUAUAUAUAAUGUAUCAAUUAUAUUAUAUAUAUAUUAUAUAAUAUAUCAAUUAUAUUAUAUAUAUAUAUUUAUAUUAUAUAUAUAUAUAAUAUAUUAAUUAUAUAUAUAUAUUAUAUAUAUAUAUAAUAUAUAUAUGAACUAAAAUGAUGUUAACAAAUGGCUGCAAUAUAACAGAGUGAACAAUUUAAGGGGGUCUGAAAACUUUCCGUACGCACUGUGUGUGUGUGUGUGUGUGUGUCUGUG